rnacentral:rRNA from 1 species
UACUGCUAUCAGUGUUCGAUUAAGCCAUGCGAGUUAAAUGUUCUUCGUGAACAUGGCGUACUGCUCAGUAACACGUGGAUAACCUGCCCUAAGGUCCGGCAUAACCCCGGGAAACUGGGGAUAAUACCGGAUAAACCAUAGAUACUGGAAUGUUCUGUGGUUAAAAGUUCCGGCGCCUUAGGAUGGAUCUGCGGCCUAUCAGGUAGUAGUGGGUGUAAAGUACCUACUAGCCGACGACGGGUACGGGUUGUGAGAGCAAGAGCCCGGAGAUGGAUUCUGAGACAUGAAUCCAGGCCCUACGGGGCGCAGCAGGCGCGAAAUCUUUACAAUGCGGGAAACCGCGAUAAGGGGACACCGAGUGCCAGCAUACAAUGCUGGCUGUCCACAUGUGUAAAUAGCAUGUGAUAGCA